UUAUUAUGCCAUGAGAAUGAUAACCUUGUAACUUGGUCAGGAUAGAAAUAUAGCAGCCAUAUCGAGAAGUAUUAUGUCUUGUGGUUUUUUUAUUAGAU
rnacentral:SRP_RNA from 3 species